rnacentral:rRNA from 1 species
CACGUAGGGCGCAAGCGUUGUCCGGAAUUAUUGGGCGUAAAGAGCUCGUAGGCGGUCUGUUGCGUCCGCUGUGAAAACUCGGGGCUUAACCCCGAGCCUGCAGUGGAUACGGGCAGACUAGAGGUAGGUAGGGGAGAAUGGAAUUCCCGGUGUAGCGGUGAAAUGCGCAGAUAUCGGAGGAACACCGGUGGCGAAGGCGGUUCUCUGGGCCUUACCUGACGCUGAGGAGCGAAAGCGUGGGGAGCGAACAGG